AGUCGAGGGGUAUUGGUUUUCGGACCAAGAGACCGGCGCACGGGUGCGUAACGCGUAUGCAAUCUACCUUUUACAGAGGGAUAGCCCAGAGAAAUUUGGAUUAAUACCUCAUAGUAUUAUUGAAUGGCAUCAUUUAAUAAUUAAAGUCACAACGGUAAAAGAUGAGCAUGCGUCCCAUUAGCUUGUUGGUAAGGUAACGGCUUACCAAGGCAACGAUGGGUAGGGGUCCUGAGAGGGGGAUCCCCCACACUGGUACUGAGACACGGACCAGACUCCUACGGGAGGCAGCAGUGAGGAAUAUUGGUCAAUGGGCGCAAGCCUGAACCAGCCAUGCCGCGUGCAGGAUGACGGUCCUAUGGAUUGUAAACUGCUUUUGUACAGGAAGAAACAUCUCUACGUGUAGAGACUUGACGGUACUGUAAGAAUAAGGAUCGGCUAACUCCGUGCCAGCAGCCGCGGUAAUACGGAGGAUCCAAGCGUUAUCCGGAAUCAUUGGGUUUAAAGGGUCCGUAGGCGGUUUUGUAAGUCAGUGGUGAAAGCCCAUCGCUUAACGGUGGAACGGCCGUUGAUACUGCAAGACUUGAAUUAUUAGGAAGUAACUAGAAUAUGUAGUGUAGCGGUGAAAUGCUUAGAGAUUACAUGGAAUACCAAUUGCGAAGGCAGGUUACUACUAAUUGAUUGACGCUGAUGGACGAAAGCGUGGGGAGCGAACAGGAUUAGAUACCCUGGUAGUCCACGCCGUANACGAUGGAUACUAGCUGUUCGGAGCAAUCUGAGUGGCUAAGCGAAAGUGAUAAGUAUCCCACCUGGGGAGUACGUUCGCAAGAA
rnacentral:rRNA from 1 species